rnacentral:rRNA from 1 species
UACAGAGGUCUCAAGCGUUGUUCGGAUUCAUUGGGCGUAAAGGGUGCGUAGGCGGCGGGGUAAGUCUGAUGUGAAAUCCUGGGGCUCAACCCCAGAACUGCAUUGGAUACUGCCUUGCUAGAGUACUGGAGAGGAAACUGGAAUUUACGGUGUAGCAGUGAAAUGCGUAGAGAUCGUUAGGAAGACCAGUGGCGAAGGCGAGUUUCUGGACAGUAACUGACGCUGAGGCACGAAGGCCAGGGGAGCAAACGGG